ACAGACAGCGGACAUCCAGGAGAUGCCCCAGUUUGAGGAGGAUGGGGCCGAGCUGGCAGGCGAAGACAAAGGCACCAGCAGGUCCAGGAAGAUCACCAGAGCUGCCAUAAUCCCCAGGCCACCUCAGAGGAGGAUGCUGAGGAUGAGGAGCCAUCACAGUAUUCACCUGCAUCCUCAACCAGUGCAAAGACACACAUGCCGAGCUCUACUUGGAGCUGGUGUACUUGGUGACUGCCUUGGUGCCCUCAGAUGGUGUGUUUGGCCAGUUCCCCCAGCAGCAGGAGGCAGGCGGCGCUCUGGAUCCCCCUGCAGGAGAUGAUCUGCUGCCUGGUGUAAUGGACCAGGCUGGAAGUCUUGCCGGUGAUCCGCUCGAAGAUGUCGCUGACGGAUGAGUUGAUGACACUCAUGGCCUUGGAGAUCUCCACCUCAUGUCGGGGUGGAACUGCUUCAGCACCUUGUUGACAUAGAUGUUGUAGGAUCCCUCCAAUCUUCCUGGAACCUCACAGUGUGCAGGUAGAACUCCCUCCAGUGAUUCUCCAGCCUCCCCCAGUAACCCUGGAUCCCAUUGUCAUUGUCAUGGACAUUCCUGCCCUCUCCCUUGAACCCAUCACUUUUGAUAUCCCCAUGCCCCAUGUGGACCUCACCCCUCCCCAUCUCAAGGCUGUGUGCACGGUUGCAUACAGAGGAGAACAACCACACCAGCCAACUCUCCCACCAUCCCACCUCCAGGAGAGCUUCGACUACCCCCCGACAUCACCUUUUCCCCACUUAGAGACUGCAGACGCCUCCCCUAACCAUGACCAUCCCAUCUGCAACCCAGCACCAAGCCGGACAACCCCAUCACCACCAACAGUAAGACAAUGAACAUACCCUGCACAUCAAGCUGUGCCUUAUCCCAAUUGAUCACGCAGGCCUUGCCCCUCCCUGGAGUGGGUCUAUGACGUGCGUGCCAAGCAUAGCCCUGUAGCAUGGCCUGCAAAGCCUCAGGACUGCCUUUCAUCUUUCACUCCAACCCCUUGACCCCAUACCAGGACUAUGAGUGUCUUUCAAUGAGCUCUCCAGUUCCUUCAUAACUGAUCAUGACACAGUCUCCCUUCUCCCCUCCACUCCAUGAGUCUCUGUGCAACCCAUCCAUUCCUCUUGUGCCACACUAACACAAUCCGCCCACCCUCCCAAUUCCCAAGCCUGUGUGCAUCUCCUCCCAUUCAAACUGUUCGAUUCCCAUCCACCCCCUCCUGUGUCUGUGUUCUAGUCUUCCAUGUCAUGCUCCAACUUCCACACCCUCUGUCUUCCCUCUGCCUGCCACCGUCCUGCCUCCCUCAACCUCACCAUACCCUAUUGUCCCUCAUAUCUCUGUCAUCCCCUCCCCCGCCCCCCAUACCCCAUUGACACCCUUGUCUCUGUCAUCCUUUCCCCCUCUCCAACCCCACCAUACCCCAUUGUUCCUCAUGUCUCUGUCAUCUUUCCCCCCUCUACCCCCAGCCCUUAGUUGCAAUGCUGGUUUUUGUUUCUGAGUGCAGCCCUGCCUGAGAUCCACAGCACGCACUCAUUGCUGUCCUCCUGGAGUACAGAGA